AUAUAUAUUGUUGACACCCGUUGACAAAAAAAUUUCAGGGGGCACCAAAAUCAGCCCUUCAUUCCCAGCCAUUCAUUGUGCUUUGCACGCCACUGCCAAUGACACAAAUGAGCACAAAUGAAAAAUAAAGUGAAUAAAACGAUAUUAUCAAUUCAGGAACUCAACCGGCAAAUUUCAUGGAACAUUUUUUUUUUUUAAUUUGAUUUGUAAAUGCAGGCAUCUGCCAGUCCGCCUUGCCAGCCCAUCACUGCUCUCCACCUUCCACACAACGACGAGGCACUCCCUGCAUGGCAAACACUGCAGGCCCGCCUGCGCACAAAGGCUGGGUAAACACUUCUCCACCGAGGGCCCACUCACCUCGCAAAAGGCAGAGACAAAGGCAGGGAGGAUCCCCGUUUUGCGCCUCUAUUAAUAGUGGCCGUGACAACAACGAGCACAGCUUCAAGCCCACGGACAGCCCAGCGGUUGAGGACGCUAUCGGCUACAGCGCAAGGCGGAAAAAAAAUAAAAGAAGGCUCAAAGGAAUGGCGCAGCAGUCCAGUUGCUGCCGAGGCCACGACAUGUAACAACGGGAGCAGGUCCUGAUACUUCCGACUCUUCCUGGAAAGAUGCUGCAAAAUUCAGCCACAUACGCCACCCCACCGACCCCCCUGCUAGAACUGCCACUGCCCAGUACCCCUUUGCAGCUAAUCUUCAUGGAAGUUUUUCCGUGGGAACUUUUGUCCAUUCAUCCAGAAGAAUUUUUUUAAGGUCAGACGUGGCCGAUGUUGGACCAGAUAAGCUCACAAUCUGGGGUUUUGAUGGCAAUGAAGUCAGCACUCUGGAGUCUUCCACAUCAAAUUCCUCCAGCCAUGCCUUAAUGGAUCCUAGGAGAAGAGGACUUUUCGCAAAUUUAAGAGAAUAACUGCCUUGGUCAUUGCAAAAAUAUUCUUCACAAUAUGUUCUAUACAGCACUAUUAGUCUUGACAAAGCAUUGUGAUAAAUAUUGUGUGUGUGGAAUAUAAGUUACGCAGUAAAAUCCACCUG